rnacentral:rRNA from 1 species
UACGUAGGGUGCGAGCGUUUGUCCGGAAUUAUUGGGCGUAAAGAGCUUGUAGGCGGUCUGUCGCGUCUGCUGUGAAAAUCCGGGGCUCAACCCCGGACUUGCAGUGGGUACGGGCAGACUAGAGUGUGGUAGGGGAGACUGGAAUUCCUGGUGUAGCGGUGAAAUGCGCAGAUAUCAGGAGGAACACCGGUGGCGAAGGCGGGUCUCUGGGCCGUAACUGACGCUGAGGAGCGAAAGCGUGGGGAGCGAACAGG